GCUGGCAAGUGAUGAUCAGAUAUCCUACACUCUCAAUGGAAAAUUCCAUGUGUGGACUAAUAAUCUCUGCUUAUUAUCUGAUGCCUUG
rfam:Triticum aestivum genome assembly, contig: Triticum_aestivum_CS42_TGACv1_scaffold_424663_5BS